GGGGCCUAGGGGUAAAUCCUGAGGCUUUGGUGCUCCCCUUCCCUUGCCAGUUUUUCUCUUCCCUGUCCUUCGAAGAGGACCUGCCAUCUUGAGAUUAGGUUUACUGGGGAGAGGAGAAUUGGGUAAGGGGCUUGUGAGUUACUCCAGUAAAGCAGAGCUGAGAAUGGGCCCGAGGGUUCCCUGCUCCCUUCAAGGUGCACAAUACAGGGUUCUUCUUCCAUCUUUCCCCACAUCCCUACCCAUUCCACCCUGUCCUGGCCUCCCCCUCUCCAGAUACUGAGCCUCUUGCCUCUGAGCCCUUGACUCCCAUCUUCACCCCGCCCCCACUGUUCUCUUUUGGAAUCUGUGGAGGGCUCUGGGGCUGACAGCCUGGUGUGACGUCAGGCAGCGCCAGUGCUUUCCUAGGCGAAGGCAGGAGACCAGUCUGCAGCCCAGGCUCCACUCAGGCUGAGUGUGUGGCCGCCCACCCGCAGCCUCCAGGCCAGGAGAGGAGGAGAAGGAGGAGCUCGGGGUGCUUCCCUGUCCCCACCCUCCCUGUGGCGUGUUUUUCCCACUCUCUUAUUUUUCUACCAAUUGCUAUUUUUCCGAACAAUCCUUGUAGAGGGUCUGUACCAUCCAAAGGCAGGAGGGCCUCACUGUGGCUGGCUCUGGUUGGAAAUGGUACAGUUUUAUUGGACAGGUGCUAAACGUCAACAACAAAAGAAGAAAAUGGAAAAAAAAAAGACAAAAAAAGGAAAAAAAAAGCCAGUUUGAGGAUGGGACAAUCUGUUCUCCAGAGGCUCCUGACCCAUUUGGGAGCUUUGGUGGUUAUUUUCUUUGUAUUGUGUUUGUUCUUUGUUCCCUGGGGGAAUUUCUGGGCCCCCUUCUGUAGGACUGCUCCCCAGCUCCAUCAUCCUGCCCAGUUGGUUUUGAAGUUGUUCUCCCUUUAAAAAAAAACAACAAAAUAACUAAAUAUAUAUAUAUAUAAAUAUAAAAAAUUUUAAAAAGCAAUGAAUAGGCUAGUUGCAAAACUAUUCAUAACAAUAAAAAAAGUAAGAAAUAAUGAAAAUGUCCAACAAAAAGAGAACAUUAAGGUCAUUAUAUUGUAUCUCCAA
rnacentral:lncRNA from 1 species